UACUCCAGCUUUGUGCUUCCUUAGUAGCUUGUGAGUACUUUACCGUGUUGUGCUGGCAUGAUUUAUUUGCCUGUCUGGUUUCCUUACAAGUUCCUUAAGGGCACAAGCCAUCUGAACUCAUAUAGCAAUAAUGGUCACUAUGACACAUGUCACACUGCCUAAGCCUCAAAACCGUUGAGGCCCAUUUCUUCAUAUGUAAGUGAGAAAGAUUCACCUCCAUGUCACAGGAUUACCAUGAAGACUUCAAACAAUGAAGAGAGAUAAAACAUGUGGGAGCUCAUAGAGGAGUGUUAGACCCGGAGCUGGCAAUCAAUAAAUGUACCAUCAUUAUGGACGGGGAUUUGCCUUCUGAAGUAUCCUGAAAUAUAUUUGGACUAUUGCUGUCAACGGUUGUUGGAAGAUUGUGUAGAUCGCAAACCAAAUCUGUAUCUCACAGCUUAAAAUUAUCUGACUUGCUCUGACCGCUUGCUGUUGAACCUCAAAAGGAUUUAAACAAGUAAGUAACAAAAUACCGGGCUUGUUUUGGUGUGAGGAAAAGAUUUAGUCUUAUAACUAUUACCUGCUAAGGACCCAAACCCAGUGUUUAAUAAUAAUAAUGAUCAGCUCUUGCCUGGGCUCAACAAACUCUACCCUGCUCUGGUGAGGGUAUCAGCAUUCAUUUAAAAGACAAUCAUUAGUUUGAGUUGUCAUUACAAAGCUUACUAAAUUGCUGAUAAAAUCCUUUAUUCCCAAGCAAGAAUUGUCCUUUUUAGUCCUUUAUAUGUAAUUUAUGCUCCACUCAAGAAUAUUAUAAUAAAUAAUAAAGUUGCUCAAUAGUUAAGCCUCAAAAGAAGGCAAUAAAUGUUACAGAAAAAAAAGU